AUAAAUAAAUUUUUUAUAAUUUAAAAAAUUUUUUAAAAAUUUAUUUUACAUAUAAAUUUUAGUAUUUAUAUUUAUAUAUUUUAAUAAUAUUUAAUUUAAUAUAAGUAGUAAUUUAUAUUAAAAAUUUAAGAAAUUGAGAUUUAGUAAUAUAAAAAUUAAUAACAAAUUUUGUGCCAGCAGUUGCGGUUAUACAAAAAUUGAAUUAAAUUUUAUUAGUUAUUAAUAAAUAUUAUUAAAAUUUAAAUUAAAUAUUAAAUUAUUAAGUGAAAUUUUAAUUUAAUUAAAAUUUAAAUUAUAUAAUAUGAAUUAAAAAAUUUUAUUAUAAACUAGGAUUAGAUACCCUAUUAUUAAAAAUUUAAAUAAAAAAUACUAAAAUAGUAGAUAAUUAUUUAUUGAAACUUAAAUAAUUUGGCGGUAUUUUAGUUCAUUUAGAGGAAUCUGUUUAUUAAUUGAUAAUCCACGAAUAAUUUUACUUAAUUUAAAAUUUUGUAUAUCGUUGUUAAAUAAAUAUUUUUUAAUAAUUAUAAUAUUUAAAAAUUUUUAUAAAAAAUUAAAUCAGAUCAAGAUGCAGAUUAUAAUUAAGAAUAUAAUGGAUUACAAUAAAUUUAUUUAAAUGAAUAUUAAUUUGUAAUAAUUAAUUGAAAGUGGAUUUAAAUGUAAUUUUAUUUAAUUUGAUAAAAUGAUUAAAAAUUAAAAUAUGUACAUAUUGCCCGUCGCUUUCAUUAAUAAAUUGAAAUAAGUCGUAACAAAGUAGAGGUACUGGAAAGUGUUUCUAGAAUGAA
rnacentral:ncRNA from 1 species